rnacentral:rRNA from 1 species
UACGCUUCUUUUUCCACCGGAGCUUGCUCCACCGGAAAAAGAAGAGUGGCGAACGGGUGAGUAACACGUGGGUAACCUGCCCAUCAGAAGGGGAUAACACUUGGAAACAGGUGCUAAUACCGUAUAACAAUCGAAACCGCAUGGUUUUGAUUUGAAAGGCGCUUUCGGGUGUCGCUGAUGGAUGGACCCGCGGUGCAUUAGCUAGUUGGUGAGGUAACGGCUCACCAAGGCCACGAUGCAUAGCCGACCUGAGAGGGUGAUCGGCCACAUUGGGACUGAGACACGGCCCAAACUCCUACGGGAGGCAGCAGUAGGGAAUCUUCGGCAAUGGACGAAAGUCUGACCGAGCAACGCCGCGUGAGUGAAGAAGGUUUUCGGAUCGUAAAACUCUGUUGUUAGAGAAGAACAAGGAUGAGAGUAACUGUUCAUCCCUUGACGGUAUCUAACCAGAAAGCCACGGCUAACUACGUGCCAGCAGCCGCGGUAAUACGUAGGUGGCAAGCGUUGUCCGGAUUUAUUGGGCGUAAAGCGAGCGCAGGCGGUUUCUUAAGUCUGAUGUGAAAGCCCCCGGCUCAACCGGGGAGGGUCAUUGGAAACUGGGAGACUUGAGUGCAGAAGAGGAGAGUGGAAUUCCAUGUGUAGCGGUGAAAUGCGUAGAUAUAUGGAGGAACACCAGUGGCGAAGGCGGCUCUCUGGUCUGUAACUGACGCUGAGGCUCGAAAGCGUGGGGAGCAAACAGGAUUAGAUACCCUGGUAGUCCACGCCGUAAACGAUGAGUGCUAAGUGUUGGAGGGUUUCCGCCCUUCAGUGCUGCAGCUAACGCAUUAAGCACUCCGCCUGGGGAGUACGACCGCAAGGUUGAAACUCAAAGGAAUUGACGGGGGCCCGCACAAGCCGGUGGAGCAUGUGGUUUAAUUCGAAGCACCGCGAAGAACCUUACC